AUAAAAGCUAUGAAGGAGACAGUAAGCUUUAAAUAAUUUCACAGAGAGUUGGAUAAGCUGAGAACCAAUAAAUUUAUAAAGUCGAAGAUCACUCCUAAGCUGCAGGCUGAACGAUUAUAAUCAAUUAAGCUGAGCCGGUUAGUGCCGUUAAACUAUACUAUAGAGUGCUAUAAAAUAUUUUAUUAAUAAUAUUUUAUAGAAUUAGGGUGGUAACGCGAUUAAUACUCGUCCCUUUU
rnacentral:ncRNA from 1 species